rnacentral:misc_RNA from 1 species
GAAAGUGACAUUGAGAUCUUUCCAUGGUAAAGAUUUUGAGAUGAGGUUUAUCCAAUUUGUGCUGGCAAAUUCGCCUAUCCUCAAGGAGAUAACUGUUGAAUGCAUGAAGAAUCCUGACUUCAACCAGGAUGAAGUAAAGGCAGUAUUGGUGCCAUUAUGUAUGGCUUCAACAGAAUUCAAUUGGGUUGGAGGGACUUAUGAUUCCGGCAGUGAUGAUUCCUCAGAUUCCGAUGACAACUCAAACAGUCCAUACUCUUCUGAUAGUGAUUAGUUCUCAGGCGUAUCCUUAUUCUGAUUUUCAAAGGGGAGUGGACAACGCUGAAAAAGAAUGGUGGAGUUGUUUGAUCUCAAAUUUUUGCACUAGGAUGGCUUUGGUUUUGGACUGAGAAUUGCAUUACAUGAAUGAGAGAAAGCAAGAGAGUUGCAUGACUUGUUGCUGUUUAAAGUGUACAUGAAUAAAUUGAUGAG